rnacentral:rRNA from 1 species
GCAAAACGCGAAGAACCUUACCCACCUUUGACAUGUACGGAAUCCUUUAGAGAUAGAGGAGUGCUCGAAAGAGAGCCGUAACACAGGUGCUGCAUGGCUGUCGUCAGCUCGUGUCGUGAGAUGUUGGGUUAAGUCCCGCAACGAGCGCAACCCUUGCCAUUAGUUGCUACAUUUAGUUGAGCACUCUAAUGGGACUGCCGGUGACAAACCGGAGGAAGGUGGGGAUGACGUCAAGUCCUCAUGGCCCUUAUAGGUGGGGCUACACACGUCAUACAAUGGCUGGUACAAAGGGUUGCCAACCCGCGAGGGGGAGCUAAUCCCAUAAAGCCAGUCGUAGUCCGGAUCGCAGUCUGCAACUCGACUGCGUGAAGUCGGAAUCGCUAGUAAUCGUGGAUCAGAAUGUCACGGUGAAUACGUUCCCGGGUCUUGUACACACCG